GAGUUUGAUCAUGGCUCAGAUUGAACGCUGGCGGCAGGCCUAACACAUGCAAGUCGAGCGGAUGAAGAGAGCUUGCUCUCUGAUUCAGCGGCGGACGGGUGAGUAAUGCCUAGGAAUCUGCCUGGUAGUGGGGGACAACGUCUCGAAAGGGACGCUAAUACCGCAUACGUCCUACGGGAGAAAGCAGGGGACCUUCGGGCCUUGCGCUAUCAGAUGAGCCUAGGUCGGAUUAGCUAGUUGGUGAGGUAAUGGCUCACCAAGGCGACGAUCCGUAACUGGUCUGAGAGGAUGAUCAGUCACACUGGAACUGAGACACGGUCCAGACUCCUACGGGAGGCAGCAGUGGGGAAUAUUGGACAAUGGGCGAAAGCCUGAUCCAGCCAUGCCGCGUGUGUGAAGAAGGUCUUCGGAUUGUAAAGCACUUUAAGUUGGGAGGAAGGGUUGUAGAUUAAUACUCUGCAAUUUUGACGUUACCGACAGAAUAAGCACCGGCUAACUCUGUGCCAGCAGCCGCGGUAAUACAGAGGGUGCAAGCGUUAAUCGGAAUUACUGGGCGUAAAGCGCGCGUAGGUGGUUUGUUAAGUUGGAUGUGAAAGCCCCGGGCUCAACCUGGGAACUGCAUUCAAAGCUGACAAGCUAGAGUAUGGUAGAGGGUGGUGGAAUUUCCUUGUGUAGCGGUGAAAUGCGUAGAUAUAGGAAGGAACACCAGUGGCGAAGGCGACCACCUGGA
rnacentral:rRNA from 1 species